UUUUCCUGGAAAUUUUUACUGAAAAUUUUGAUCUUUGAGGUACUUUCUCUAACAGCAUAUUCACCAUCCGACGACCAAACAAAUUCCAAUGCUGAACCAAAUGAUCUGUUUCUCCAGGCUAAAGCUGUAUAUAUGAUGUACUCACCAUCUCCACAGACAACAACAAAUCUUCCAUUGGGAUUGUGCUUUAAACUUUGUGGAUAAAGAUCACAUGUUCCCAACUCCUUGACAGCCAAAGGCAAUCUCUCUCCAUCAGUAACCUCAAAAUCCGCUCCCACACUCUUAAUGUUCACAGUUUGAAUUUCAUUGUGCUUGGCCCAUAUAAUCUUCCCACUGUU
rnacentral:misc_RNA from 1 species